rnacentral:rRNA from 1 species
UGUGCCCUACGGGGCGCAGCAGUGGGGAAUAUUGCACAAUGGGGGAAACCCUGAUGCAGCAACGCCGCGUGAGUGAAGAAGUAUUUCGGUAUGUAAAGCUCUAUCAGCAGGGAAGAAGAUGACGGUACCUGAAUAAGAAGCCCCGGCUAACUACGUGCCAGCAGCCGCGGUAAUACGUAGGGGGCAAGCGUUAUCCGGAUUUACUGGGUGUAAAGGGAGCGUAGACGGCAGGGCAAGUCUGGAGUGAAAGGCAGGGGCCCAACCCCUGGACUGCUCUGGAAACUGUCCGGCUGGAGUGCAGGAGG